UUGUGGUAGCCCCAAAAUAUUGGGACAUAUAAAAAAAGACAGAGUAGCUGUUGACAUUAUAGUUGCGCAGGCACUUUGUUGACUCUAGAGAACCUCGGGCCAAUCGCACAUCCCCGUGGCAGCGACUUUGUAUGCGGAUGUCAUCCACAUCAACUUUCGAUGCAAGUUUCUGCGCCUACCAUAGUGACCACAGGUAAUCGGGAAUCAGGGCUCCAUUCCGUACAGGGACCCUGAGAAAUGGCUACCACAUGCAAGGAAGGCAGCAGGCGCACAAAUACCCACUCCCGACGCGGGAAGGUAGUGACGA